rnacentral:rRNA from 1 species
CCCUUAGAUGUUCUGGGCUGCACGCGUGCUCCACUGAUAUUGCCAAUAUGUCAUUCUUAUCCGAAAUGGAUUGGGUAAUCAAGUAAUGAAAUUUCAUGCUUGGAAUCGGUAAUUGCAAUUUUAUCGUGAACGAGGAAUUCCUAGUAAGCACUAGUCAUCAGCUAAUGUUGAUUAUGUCCCUGCCCUUUGUACACACCGCCCGUCGCUACUACUGAUUGGGUGUUCAAGUGAGAUGCUUAGACCCUUGUUGCAUGGUUCAUUAUUGUGCUCCGAAAGGAAAAAGUUUCAAGCUUGAGUGUCUAGAGGAAGUAAAAGUCGUAACA